GACGGAGGAUGCAAGUGUUAUCCGGAGUUACUGGGCGUAAAGGGCGUGUAGGCGGUUUGUUAAGUCUGGCGUGAAAGCUCUCGGCUAAACCGGGAGAGGUCGUUGGAUACUGGCAAACUAGAGGACGGUAGAGGCGUGUGGAAUUCCGGGUGUAGUGGUGAAAUGCGUAGAGAUCCGGAGGAACACCAGUGGCGAAGGCGACACGCUGGGCCGUACCUGACGCUAAAGCGCGACAGCAUGGGGAGCAAACAGG
rnacentral:rRNA from 1 species